rnacentral:rRNA from 1 species
GACAGAGGGUGCAAACGUUGUUCGGAAUUACUGGGCGUAAAGCGCAUGUAGGCGGCCUAGCAGGUCGGAUGUGAAAUCCCUCGGCUCAACCAAGGAAGUGCAUUCGAAACCGCAAGGCUCGAGUCCCGGAGAGGAUGGUGGAAUUCUCGGUGUAGAGGUGAAAUUCGUAGAUAUCGAGAGGAACACCGGCGGCGAAGGCGGCCAUCUGGACGAGGACUGACGCUGAGAUGCGAAAGCGUGGGUAGCAAACAGG